rnacentral:misc_RNA from 1 species
UGGUUCUGGCAUCGAUGAAGAACGCAGCGAAAUGCGAUAAGUAAUGUGAAUUGCAGAAUUCAGUGAAUCAUCGAAUCUUUGAACGCACAUUGCGCCCAUUAGUAUUCUAGUGGGCAUGCCUGUUCGAGCGUCAUAUCAACCCUUAAGCCUAGCUUAGUGUUGGGAAUCUACUGUGCGGGCCAAGCUACCCUGUAGCCUGGCUCCCCUGUAGCUCCCGAAAACCAACGGCGGAUUUGCAGUGUCCUCUGAGCGUAGUAAUUCUUUAUCUCGCUUCUGUUUAGGUGCUGUAGAUGUUGCCGCUAAACCCCUAAAAAUUUUGUGGUUGACCUCGGAUCAGGUAGGAAUACCCGCUGA